UCGAUGACUUCGCCGGUGUGCGGGUUCUUGUACUGCUUGACCUUGCGCGCGCGCUUGCCGGCAGGCGCCUUGGCGGUGCGGGUGCUCUUGCCGAUCUUGGC
rnacentral:sRNA from 1 species